UAUAAAAGUUUUCUUGAAAUGUUGAGCAAGAAAACUCGAAGAUUUCGACUAUACAGUUUCCCCACGGUGCUCGUGGUGAGAAUAGGGAAAAGGCCGACCGUCAGCAGGGUCCCAAGCCAAUUCGUAGCGGGUUGUCAGAACAAAGUUCAAACAAAUUGAGGAUAAAAGGAGUUUUUGAAGAAAUGAGCUGUUUAAUUUUUUUUUGUUUGUAUUUUCUUUUUCGAGCUUCCUAGAAAAAAAAAAUUUGAACCAUUGUACCAGAAGAACGAUCAGUGUUUGUGGCUUAUUUUU